UUUUUUUUUCCCGCUU
rnacentral:sRNA from 1 species